AUUGAACGCUGGCGGCAUGCCUUACACAUGCAAGUCGAACGGUAACAGGUCUUCGGAUGCUGACGAGUGGCGAACGGGUGAGUAAUACAUCGGAACGUGCCUAGUAGUGGGGGAUAACUACUCGAAAGAGUGGCUAAUACCGCAUGAGACCUACGGAUGAAAGCAGGGGAUCGCAAGACCUUGUGCUACUAGAGCGGCCGAUGGCAGAUUAGGUAGUUGGUGGGAUAAAAGCUUACCAAGCCGACGAUCUGUAGCCGGUCCGAGAGGACGAUCAGCCACACUGGGACUGAGACACGGCCCAGACUCCUACGGGAGGCAGCAGUGGGGAAUUUUGGACAAUGGGCGAAAGCCUGAUCCAGCAAUGCCGCGUGCAGGAUGAAGGCCUUCGGGUUGUAAACUGCUUUUGUACGGAACGAAAAGCCCCGGGUUAAUACCCUGGGGUCAUGACGGUACCGUAAGAAUAAGCACCGGCUAACUACGUGCCACCAGCCGCGGUAA
rnacentral:rRNA from 1 species